rnacentral:rRNA from 1 species
GACGAACGCUGGCGGCGUGCUUAACACAUUCAAGUCGAACGGAAAGGCCCUUCUUUUGUUGGGUGCUCGAGUGGCGAAAGGGUGAGUAACACGUUAGUAACCUUCCCUUUACUUUGGGGUUACUUCAGGAAACUGGGGCUAAUACCGGAUAGGAGCUCCUGCUUCAUGGUGGGGGUUUGAAAGUUUCGGCGGUUGGGGAUGGACUCGCGGCUUAUCAGCUUGUUGGUGGGGUAGUGGCUUACCAAGGCUUUGACGGGUAGCCGGCCUGAGAGGGUGACCGGCCACAUUGGGACUGAGAUACGGCCCAGACUCCUACGGGAGGCAGCAGUGGGGAAUAUUGCACAAUGGGCGGAAGCCUGAUGCAGCAACGCCGCGUGCGGGAUGACGGCCUUCGGGUUGUAAACCGCUUUCGCCUGUGACGAAGCGUGAGUGACGGUAAUGGGUAAAGAAGCACCGGCUAACUACGUG